CAACGUGGGUGACCUGCCUUCGAGCGGGGGAUAACGUCCCGAAAGGGACGCUAAUACCGCAUAACAUCCUGCCUUUUAAGAGGUGGAGAUCAAAGCCGGGGAUUCGCAAGAACCUGGCACUUGAAGAGGGGCCCGCGCCUGAUUAGCUAGUUGGUGGGUAAUGGCUCACCAAGGCAACGAUCAGUAUCCGGCCUGAGAGGGCGGACGGACACACUGGGACUGAGACACGGCCCAG
rnacentral:rRNA from 1 species